CGUAGUUGAAUUUCGGGAUUGACACAUCGGUCGUGCCUUAAGGGGUAUGAACUGGUGUAGUCAGUUCUCACCUUCUGGAGAACCGCGAUGUCCUUAAUUGGGUGCCGCGAGGAACCAGGACCUUUACUUUGAAAAAAUUAGAGUGUUUAAAGCAGGCAUUUUGCUUGAAUACAUUAGCAUGGAAUAAUAAAAUAGGACGGAUGGUUCUAUUUUGUUGGUUUCUAGGAUCACCGUAAUGAUUAAUAGGGAUAGUCGGGGGCGUCAGUAUUCAGCUGUCAGAGGUGAAAUUCUUGGAUUUGCUGAAGACUAACUACUGCGAAAGCAUUCGCCAAGGAUGUUUUCAUUAAUCAGGGAACGAAAGUUAGGGGAUCGAGGACGAUCAGAUACCGUCGUAGUCUUAACCAUAAACUAUGCCGACUAGGGAUCGGACGGUGG
rnacentral:rRNA from 2 species